AUUGAACGCUGGCGGCAGGCUUAACACAUGCAAGUCGAACGAGUGGAGGACGGGUGAGUAAUGCGGGGGAAUCUCGCUUAUGGAGGGGGAUAACUACGGGAAACUGUAGCUAAUACCGCGUACCAUAGGAUGAGCCCCAGUGGGAUUAGGUAGUUGGUUAGGUAAAGGCUCACCAAGCAGACGAUCUCUAGCGGGUCUGAGAGGAUGACGUGCAACACGGGGACGGAGACACGGCCCAGAGUCCUACGGUAGGCAGCAGUGGGGAAUCUUGCGCAAUGGGGGCAACCUGACGCAGCCAUGCCGCGUGAAUGAAGAGGGCCUUCGGGUUGUAAAGCUCUUUAAGUCGCGAGUCGUUAACUACGGAAGAAGCAACGGCUAACUCCGCGCCAGCCGCCGCGGUAAUUC
rnacentral:rRNA from 1 species